UCAAAUCCUUGUACCGAAUGACCUGCGAACACGUUCCGAGAAUCACAAGCGUUGUUGCGCCCUUGCUCGGUGCGGGUCGGUGACUUGUUGCCGGACGCGUCGAGCAUCGAAAACAAAAUCGGGCGCGGGAAGCGCCAAGGAAUAGCGAAAUAGAGGAUGGCCUUCCCGCGGCAUGCCGCGGGGAUUAAAGGGGUCUCCAAAUGAAAAUGUUGUACACAGU
rnacentral:misc_RNA from 1 species